ACGUAGGCAGCAAGCGUUGUUCGGAGUUACUGGGCGUAAAGAGUGUGUAGGCGGUUCGCCAAGUUCGGUGUGAAAUCUCCCGGCUCAACUGGGAGGGUGCGCCGAAAACUGGCGGGCUGGAGUGCGGGAGAGGAGGGCGGAAUUCCUGGUGUAGCGGUGAAAUGCGUAGAUAUCAGGAGGAACACCCGCGGUGUAGGCGGCUCUCUAGACCGCAACUGACGCUGAGACACGAAAGCGUGGGGAGCAAACAG
rnacentral:rRNA from 1 species